CAGAAAUCUCGUGUGGAACAA
rnacentral:snRNA from 1 species